CCUACGGGAGGCUGCAGUGGGGAAUAUUGCACAAUGGGGGAAACCCUGAUGCAGCGACGCCGCGUGAGUGAAGAAGUAAUUCGUUACGUAAAGCUCUAUCAGCAGGGAAGAAAUACUGACCUUACGGUCAGCAGACGGUACCUGAGUAAGACGCCCCGGCCAACUACGUGCUAGCAGCCGCGGGAAUACGUAGGGGGCAAGCGUUAUACGGAUUUACUGGGUGUAAAGGGUGCGUAGGCGGUGCGCCAAGUCUGGAGUGAAAUGCCGGAGCUUAACGUUGGAACUGCUUUGGAAACUGGCGAACUAGAGUGCGUGAGGGGUGAGCGGAAUUCCUGGUGUAGGAGUGAAAUGCGUAGAUAUUAGGAGGAACACCAGUGGCGAAGGCGGCUUACUGGACCGUAACUGACGUUGAGGCGCGAAAGCGUGGGGAGCAAACAGGAUUAGAUACCCGAGUAGUC
rnacentral:rRNA from 1 species